rnacentral:lncRNA from 1 species
AGCCUCGCGGGGGGCAGGUCACUGCUCUGGCCGCUCCCCUUUGCCACCUGCCUCCUCACCUGGCGAGGGCACGGCAGGUCCUUGUUUUUCUCACCUGAAAUCCUGGGCACUUGGAGCGAGACCGGACGGGGCCAGGCUGCUCCCUGCUGACCCAAGCCAGCGCCUCGGAGCGCGCGGAAGCUUCCAGCAGCGGGGCCAGCCCAAGCCGGCUGCGUUAAUCAUUCCCGUUGAUGUGGGUCUCUGCUCAACAAAUUUUCUAAGCCACAGGGGGGCCUGGCCCAGCGUGCUGUCCACCCGUGACCCUUCCAAUGGGGGUGUCUUGGGGGCUCAUCCAAGGAAGGGAAGGGGCAGUGUGUGAGAGGCCUGAGGCCCACGGGACGCUGGAGGGGACCCUGCUGGGGCCGGGCCACCUGCCCUCCUCACGCUCCGUCCAGCGCGGCAGCGAUGGGGAAAUACGUAGUGAGCGCCUACCUGUGGGUCAGACGCGGUGCCCAGGGCUGGGGAGACAAUGAAGAGCGCCUGAUGUGAGCCCUGCGGACCCGGUGGAGCUGAGAGUGCAGCGCCGGGAGAGAGCUAGUAAUUAAAAGAACAAGGCAAUAAAGUGAUUGCAGAUUACUGUGGGCGCUGGGAAGGAAAGGGAAUAGGAGGUGUGACAAAGUGCCCGGGGAGGGUGUCUCUGAGGAGCAGACAUUUGAACCGGAGCCCCACAGAUGAGCCAGAAGAGACGGGGAACGG